CCUACGGGUGGCAGCAGUGGGGAAUAUUGGGCAAUGGCGGCAACUCUUACCCAGCAAUGCCGCGUGAAUGAAGAAGGUCUUCGGUAUGUAAAGUUCUUUCUUUGGGGACGAAAAAAUUGCCGGUACCGAAGGAAUACGCCCCGGCUAACAACGUGCCAGCAGCAGCGGUAAUACGUAAGGCGCAGGCGUUGUUCGGAAUGAAUGGGCGUAAAGGGUGUGUAGGUGGGGUAGCAAGUUAGACGUGAAAUACCUAGAGCUUAACUCAGGUGCUGCUGCUAACACUGGUAUACUUGAGUGUAGUAGAGGAAAGUGGAAUUCCUAGUGUAGCGGUGGAAUGCGUAGAUAUUAGGAGGAACAUCAGUGGCGAAGGCGACAUACUGGACUGUAACUGACGCUGAUGCACGAAAGUGUGGGGAGCAAACAGGAUUAGAUACCCCGGUAGUC
rnacentral:rRNA from 1 species